GGCCGGCUGGCUCAAUUGGUAGAGCACCUGACUACGGAUCAGGAGGUUGCAGGUUCGAGUCCUGCGUCGGUCA
rnacentral:tRNA from 1 species